ACAGAAGAAAUAUGCCUGGAUAUGCAGCGGGGAUGGAAACGGGAUUCCCAUAUGUUAUUCCUCAAAAUUCUCAGAUGGUGAGUUUGAGUCUUCUGAGAGAACUAACAACUUCAGAGCCUUGAAAUGUGCAUCCACCACACAAAACUAUCUAUAUUCCCUAAAUUUAUUGCUUCCAGCAGCUGAUGUGUCGCCUACUGGAUCAAAUGAGCACGAGAGACCUGGUGGCCCUUCCAGGAAUGACACUAUUACAGAGAAGAU